rnacentral:rRNA from 1 species
UACGUAGGGUGCGAGCGUUGUCCGGAAUUAUUGGGCGUAAAGAGCUCGUAGGCGGCCUGUCGCGUCGGAUGUGAAAGCCCGGGGCUUAACCCCGGGUCUGCAUUCGAUACGGGCAGGCGUAGAGUUCGGUAGGGGAGAGUCGGAAUUCCUGGUGUAGCGGUGGAAAUGACGCAGAGUAUCAGGAGGAACACCGGUGGCGAAGGCGGAUCUCUGGGCCGAUACUGACGCUGAGGAGCGAAAGCGUGGGGAGCGAACAGG